AUACCUUUCUCAACCUUUUGAUUAAGAAAAGUGUAAUAUUUGUUCUUAUCAAUUUAAUAUCUAAUAUGUGGACCAUUUGUUCACUUUGAUAUUAAACUUAUUUUUAUGGGUAUCAAAUAUGAUUAUGUGACGUUGCAACGUACGAGCAUUGUGUUAGUCUAAUUAGAUUAUGUCCGAUUGCUCAU
rnacentral:snRNA from 1 species